CUGCUCCACGCUCAACAGCUGCUAGCGCGAUUGCUGCUGCUCAAGCUAUGCCGUCUAACUACUGGCUGGCUGGCUAUUUGCCUUUAUCGGCGGCAUUGUGGCCUCAGUUCAUUCGGAAUUGUUGAGGUGUUUGCACGCGUGCGACAAAAGUUGUUAGUCGGUGAGUCUCAACACAACUCGUAGUGGAAACAACAACAACAACAACAAUAGCAAGACUGGCAAUUGCAGCGCAUUACCACCCCUUGGGAUUAGAACAACCACUAACGAACGGGUAAUGUUGUUGUUUUUGGUUAAUGGUGGUGAUGGUGCAUCGUCGUACACUAACAAAAUAACAACAACAAUACUAGUGACAAGCAAACAACCCUUGAGUGUUGCUAAUAAGCGACGAACGCGUUGUGGCGCAUCGUGAAAUUUCGAAAACGCGCUUUGAAAACUAUUACUUUUGCGAUUCUUAAUUUCGUCAGCGAAACACUGUGUCAGUGCCACAGUGCGCUGGGGUAGGCCAAGAUAUACAAACCUUACUGCAAUUCUACUGGAUGUCUCAGUUUAACAUUAUUUUUACUUCUUCUUGUGAAACAGAAAUAGUUUUUUAAGCCCAAAUGGUCGCUUAUUAUCGAUAAUUGCAAUCAAGCGUUGCUUAAAAUCGCAAAAAUCUUAGAAAACGCUAAAGAAAACGAUUGCGAAAAAAUCCAAAAAUCAAAUUGCCAAAAAAGACCGGCACGAAACUAGCGAAUUUAAUACAACAAAAAACACAACCAAUUUUGCAAAAUACGCAUACAGAGUUUUAAGUGGCGAUAUUAUAGCCACCAUAAGAAAACAGCAACAAGAUAGCGGGCGAAAAAUAAUCAGAAUUGGUAAACAGAUUUGCGAACAAAUAAUGGGCAUAAAAAGUGGCUGAUGUUGGAAACUUAAUGAGCUGCGGAGUUAAACGAUACGUAAAGCACACAAAAUAAGAUAAACAAAAAACAAAAAUAAAAACAAAUACAAAAUAAAAAAAUAAAUAAAUGGAAAAUAAAUAUAAAUGAAUGAAAAUAAAUAAAAACGAAAAUAAAGUGGAAGCAAGUUGUUAAUACAACAGCAACGUAAAUAUUUAAUUGCAGUCAGUACAACAAAAACAAAAAAUAUAAAAAAAAAAUAUUACAACAAAACGUAUAGUAAAUAAAUUAAAGACAAAUGUGUAAAAAGUAAAGAAAAAAGUGUAAACAGUUAUUAAACAACAACAACAACAAAAAUAACAACAAAAACGUCAACAGCAUUGCAAAAUCGCGCAAAAUCACAUCCAAACAAACAAUU